rnacentral:rRNA from 1 species
GCGUGAGUGAAGAAGGCCCUAGGGUUGUAAAGCUCUUUCACCCGUGAAGAUGAUGACGGUAGCGGGAGAAGAAGCCCCGGCUAACUCCGUGCCAGCAGCCGCGGUAAUACGGAGGGGGCUAGCGUUGUUCGGAAUUACUGGGCGUAAAGGGCACGUAGGCGGCGCGGCAAGUUAGGUGUGAAAGACCUGGGCUCAACCGAGGAAUUGCACUUAAUACUGCCGCGCUUGAGUCCGAGAGAGGUGAGUGGAAUUCCCAGUGUAGAGGUGAAAUUCGU